GGUUAAGUCCCACAACGAGCGCAACCCUCGUCGCUAGUUAAUUCCCUAGCGAGACCGCCUCGCAAAACGAGGAGGAAGGCGGGGAUGGCGUCAAGGUCAGCAUGGCUUUUAUACCCUGGGCGACACGCACGCUACAAUGGGUGGUACAGUAGGUAGCGAAGGAGCGAUCCGGAAGCAAAUCCUUAAAACCAUCCUCAGUACGGAUUGCAGGCUGAAACCCGCCUGCAUGAAGCCGGAGUUGCUAGUAACCGCAUAUCAGCAUGGUGCGGUGAAUACGUUCUCGGGCCCU
rnacentral:rRNA from 1 species